rnacentral:lncRNA from 1 species
CCACAACUCCCGCAGGAAAGCCUAAGGAAUAAUGCCCAUGGAGGACUGUAAUAAAGGCAUAGUCCCACAGAGUCUCUCUCUUUCUCUGUCUCUUGACCCCCACUCGCUGGCUGAGCUCCCUGUCACCUGAACUUCCCAUAGGCCUCCUGUUGGCACUCUUAUCUCUGGGACAUGAUCCCUUCGUUUGAGGUAGGAUAUGGAAUCGCAUCCACUCUGAUUUGUUGCCAGCAGUGUUCUCCAACUUAAUUAUCCUCUGUGAUCCACACUAAAGUAUUUUGAAGAAUAACAAAGCUCUCCAAGGGUCUUAAUACAGGGGAGUUAGCAGACUUGGAAAACUGCAAGAGGAGAAGAGUAAGAGGACUCUCAAAACAUUAAGAUUCUAUUGAAGCAAAUGUGAAUGUUUAUUAAUUGUCACAUUCUUUUGAAGCCUUGAAGCCCAGUAGCAAAAAGCAUAGGCGUUGACUGUGAUUAAAAUUUCAUGGCACCAUUUAACCGGAUAAGAGAAGGACCUAAGGUGGGAGAGCUACACUCAUGAGCAUAAAUGCUUUCAAUAUGAAAUCACUUAAUUUAGUUGAUUAACAGGAACUCACUAAAAAUCAACAAUUUAAUCUUUCAUUUAUUGUGUAUCUAAGGCACAACAACAUGUACUAAGUGAUAAAAAGAUGAAUCAAGCCUGUUAUAAAUGCAUAAUAACUGCCAAUUACUGGGCACUGCAACAUUCUAAUUGUUUUGUAGGUACUAGGUCACUGAUUCUCAACAGCAUCUCUGUACCAGUCACACUGGCCUUAUAGAACAAAUGAGUGACCUGAGAUAUUACAGCUUGUAAGAGGUGAAGGAGGGGAACUACUUGAGCAAAAGGCCCAGUGGAUUUGAGCCAAGUUCCAGAAGAGCAAUGAGAAUAUCAUAACCUCUCAGGAGGCUAUACAGGAAGCAUGAUGCUGGUGUCUGCUCAGCUUCUGGGGAGAACUCAGGAAACUUACAAUCAUGGCAGAAGGCAAAGAGGAAGCAAGUGCAUCUUACAUGGCUGGAGCAAGAUCGUGAGAGAGUGGGGAGGUGCUGCACACUUUUAAACAACCAAAUCUCGUUGUUUUGCCACAACACCAUCAAGGAGAAUGAUGUUAAACCAUGAGAAACCACCCCUAGACCCACCAGGCCCUACCUCCAACACUGGGGAUUACAGUUUGACAGGAGAUUUGGGUGGGGACACAGAUCCAAGCCAUAUCAUUACAUAUUUCUUUAUUUCUGUUUGUAUAAACUCUGGUUUUCUAUUUUAUUAAAUAAAUUAAAAUCCAUUACUAUUAUUGUCUAUUCUGAUACUCAAAUUGGCAAAGAUUUGACCAGGGCCAGCUCCUUUGUGCUGGCUUCUUUGUCCUCUUGACAUGUCUUUACUCUUUGAUACUUAUUUUAUGGCAUAACGGAAGAUUCAGACUCAACUCUUAGUUUUUUUGCCCCAUGCCUGGAAUCAAAUAUUUCUACUAGGAACCUUGGUUCUUUUAAAAGGAAAAUGUUUUUUAGUAUGCAAAAUCUGGUUACACUCAUGACUAUGUAUGCAACACUGCUUCCAGGCUCUCUCAAUGGAUAGGACUAGGGAAUAUAUGCAAGUUCACAAACACACACACACACACACUCACUUGCAUCUAUAUUUAUAACUCUCUCCAUAUAUACUGGAAACCAUAAGUUCACACUGAAAUUUCCAAUUCCAAUCUAACACCACAGAGUUCAUUCUAGUUUUCUCUAUUUCUAGAUUUGUAACUCCCUUCUCUGACAGUGAAAAACAGGCUCCCAUUAUUCUAAAUAUUUUUACUUAUUUGAUGAAUUUUCCUGUAUGUAACUGAUCUCAUUCCUGCCACUGCCCUCUUCCCCCAAGAAUAUCCUUCUGCUAAGGUAUAGCAAAGAUUAUGUGCUGGAAACUUAAUGCCCAAUGCAAUAGUGUUGAGAGGUGGGAUGUUUAUGAGGUGAUUAAGUCAUGAGGGCUCUUCCCUCAUGAAUGAAUUAAUGCUGAUAUAAUGAGAAUGGGUUCUUGAGAAGAAGGAUGAGUCUGGUCUCCUUCCUCUCGUUCUUUCCCUCUGUUGCCUUUCUAUCUUCUGCUAUGGGAUGACACAGCAUGAAGGCCCUCCCUAUAUGCCAGUGCCAUGCUCUUGGACUUUCCAGUCUUCAGAAUUUUAAGCCAAAUAAACUUAUACUGUUUAUAAAUUACUCAGUGUGUGGCAUUCUGUUAUAUCACCACAAAAUGAAUGAAGAUACCUCCUUAACACCACUCACAG